rnacentral:lncRNA from 1 species
CAGCACUUUUGAACAUAUUAAAUACUCAUGGACAAUGGCUGCAAGUGAGAAAAUCUACUAUUUGAAUCAUUCAAGUUGAUAAAAACAUUUAUCUGUCAAAAAAACAUCAAAUCUUCUCUUCACUCUUUUCCACCCUACAUUGUACCGCAGGAGUCCAGCCCAAAUGGACUGCAACAACAGGAAUGGCAUCCUCUGAAACCCCAGGAGAGAGAAAGGAGAGUGAAAAAUAAAGAGAAUAAAGAUUUGAAAAGAUUGGAGAAGGCAUGCAGAUAUGAAAUAAACUUUGUCGAGCACAAGAGAAUGGAAUUUCCAGUUUUGAGCACCCAGAUGAAGUGAAAGCUAACUUAAAAGAUGCAUGAUUUUCUUCAAUAACUCUUAUUUACAGCAAUACAGACAUGGAAAAAGUUGAUAGUUGAGUUUUUCCGGGGCUGAAAUUUCGCUGGGAGUAGAGCAAGAAGAGAGAAGAAAAGCUAUUGAAGAGCUUGCAGGAGAGUGAUUAUAAUGAAGAAUGGACUCAAAUCUGGAUACAGUGAAAACAAGAAGAGA